GACGAACGCUGGCGGCGUGCUUAACACAUGCAAGUCGAACGGAAAGGCCCUUCUUUUGUGGGGUGCUCGAGUGGCGAACGGGUGAGUAACACGUUAGUAACCUGCCCUUGACUUUGGGAUAACUUCAGUAAACUGGGGCUAAUACCGGAUAGGAGCUCCUGCUGCAUGGUGGGGGUUGGAAAGUUUCGGCGGUUGGGGAGGGACUCGCGGCUUAUCAGCUUGUUGGUGGGGUAUUGGCUUACCAAGGCUUUGACGGGUAGCCGGCCUGAGAGGGUGACCGGCCACAUUAGGACUGAGAUACGGCCGAGACUCCUACGGGAGGCAGCAGUAGGGAAUAAUGCACAAUGGGCGGAAGCCGGAUGCAGGAACGCCGCGUGCGGGAGGACGGCCGUCGGGUUGUAAACCGCUUUCGCCUGUGACGAAGCGGGAGUGACGGUAAUGGGUAAAGAAGCACCGGCUAACUACGUG
rnacentral:rRNA from 1 species